AAAACAAAAGUAAAUAAAAAGAGAAAACAACCAGUGCUAGGAUCAAUGUCAGCCGGAAAUCAAAAAAAUUGUUUAACAAUUGGCUGAAAAUAGCCAGUUGAGAGCGAAGAGAUGCGUAUUAGUGAGAGUGAUAUAUGAUGAUUUGAUGGUGCAAAAAGAAUUGUGAAAAAACACAAUUAUAAAGAAUUCAACACAAUUAUUAUUUUCUUCAGAUAUACAGGAUUUGUGGAAAGAUGCUCGGUGAAUUUUUUUGUUAAAUUUUUGGUACAAUUAAUUUUCCUAGGAUGGAUUAUAUUCUCAUAAGGCCUGGAAACAGUGGAGGGAGAAUCAUCGGAAUUCUCUCGCUAAAGCUUUUCUCGCUAAUUUGUAAGUUAAAUUGAUUAUGAUUGUCAGUUCCUUCUUGAAACAUGAAAUCAUAUUUCCCUUUUAUAAAUUUCAGUCUCUUGAAUCUCCCGGUUAAAAUAUCAUCAAAUGGUUUCAUGAGGACAACACAUGUUCUAAUAUUUCAACGGUUAUGAGUAAAUUAAUAUAGUAGUGGGUUGGGGAGACAGAAAAUGAGGAUGGAGAUUAACAUAACAAACAGAAAAGAGGAUGGCGGUGGUGGUGAAAACAGACAUGAAAAUUCUUAGAGAGAGACGGUUAUUUCCAGAACAAAAGAAAUCCAUGGUAAGUGAAGGAGAAAAAAGAACAAUGAUGACGGGAAGUAGGGAAGUCAUAAAGAAUGAAUAUAUAAAUUUGUUAAGAUUUAAGAACUAUUAUUUUGAGAGGGUCGUAUCUUUUCAAAAAUGCAACGUUUCAAAAAUGCAACGUUUCAAAAACAAGACACCGUUAGAUAUAAGAAUUAUUAUUUUGAGAGGGUCGUGUCUCUUCAGAAGCAAUGUUUCAAAAAUGCAACGUUUCAAAAAGAAAAAGACAUCGUUUAGAUAUAAUAACGGAUGACAUCAUAUACUAAAUGAAACUUAAAUAAUAUCCACUAGAUUACAUAACCGCAAUAAUCUCAACCGUCCGAUUUCAAUUUUAUUUUGCUAUAAAAAAUGUUGAUGUCAUCAAACACAGAAUGUGGAGUUUGCUAUUAUGUAUAGAUAUCUUUUAAAAAGUGAAAAGUUGUGACUAUUAUUAUAAGUAUAAUUUUAAAAUAACUACUGUUAUAAAUUUUUAACCUUCUUUCUUUACCGUUAAACCAUUCAGGAAACAAAGCAUAUAUAAGGUUGCUUUUGCAGAUUUAUAGGUAUUUGCUAGCUACCUACUGGGCAAAUGACGAAAGCGAAAGCGUACGCAAAGCUCUUCAAAUCAAGAAGGUAUAUAAGACUGUUCAUUUCAAAGAGUUUAGUAAAGAAGCGCUGUCAAGUUUUUUAAGAAGAUCUAUAAUUGUAGUAGAGCAUAGGGAGAUGGAUACGAUGUAAUUUGGAUAUUCCUUACAGUAACGACAUUAUAAGUAAUGUACCUUACCAUAUGGAUAAUAGCAUCAAUGGCUAUCGUUCUCUCAUCUUCAGGUCAGAGUUUUUUUCUCCCACCAAGAUUCAAAAUCUUUAUGUAAAUAUUUGUGUGGUUUUGUGUGAACAUUGGUGAUCACGAUAUGACAGUACCUUACAUUGGGACUCAAGCUUGGAUAAGAUCUCUCAACUAUUCGGUUAUUGAUAACUGGAGACCAUGGAUGAUCAAUAAUCAACUCGCUGGAUAUACAAGAAGUUAUGCAAAUAAAAUGACAUUUGCUACUAUCAAAGCAAGUUUUUCUUACUUCUUUUUUAAAUUUUCUAUACAUAAUAGGAAACCUGUUUUUUUGUUAACUGAUAAUAUCAUCAUUUUUUAUAGGAAAAAAAAGAUAUAUCUAACUGUUAGAUUUGCUUUAUUUUAUAAUAAUCUAAUGGUUAAAAAUUAGAUUUCCUUUAAAUAGAUGACAUCAUCAUUUAUUAAACCAAAGAACGCUUUUGCCUUUCUCGAAUCAAUGCAUUCCUUCAAAUCAAAACGGCUUAAACCUCUUCCAAAGACACCUCUUUGAAAACAUUUAUACAUCGAAGAUUCCAACUUUUACAUCUGAUAUUUUAUUUCUUCUAAAUAGUCUAUUAAUUUAUUUAUUUUUGUGAAGAGAGAUCUGUUAAGCUACUAUUAAUCAUCGGUCAUCCCAUUUUACAAAUACUUUUUCAAAGAAUAAUCUAUCUACCAUAUUAGUAACUUUGACAUCACAUCUGAUACAAGGUUUAAUGAUAUGUCAAAUUAUAUACGUACAACGCAUAUAUGAUCCUAUUUUUUUAUAAAAAUAUAUGAUCCAUUUUGUUAUCUAUCAAAUAAAUAGACAUUUAUGAUGUUUUUCGAAUUGAUGUUACGUACAUUUUUAUUCGUGCAUGAGUUUGAUACGAGUGAUAUUUAUUUUGUGAAUCUCUGAUAAUAAUUAAAUAAGAAAUAAUUGUUAGAGAUUUAAGUGAAUCUUUGAGACUGUUUAAGUGGAGUAUGUUGUCUUAGUGAAUAGUUACAAUUGGUUAGAUGAUGCAACUGUUAGUGUUGAACCAUUACAUUCUUUGAUGAUAAAAAAAUUACAAUUAUUAGUGAUUAUUGUUUUUAGUUGUGAACUGUUGCAACUUUUGGUGUUAACCAGUGUAACCCUUAGUUAAACCUUUGCAAAGGUUGAUUGUCAACUAUUGCAAUCCUUAGUCAUAUAUAUAAAUAGUUGUCGAAAAUGACAAAUAACAACCACAAUAAACACCAAAUAAAAUUAGAAAAUCACAACAAUCACAAAUAAACUAAAAAAGAAAGAGAUUCAUUAUUUAGAUCAUCAAAGAUCACUA